AGUUGUUCAACAGAGGUGAGCUGCAAGUGCCCAGUGAGUUAGAACUUCAACCGUUUCUAUUUCCUCUUUCGCCACAGCACGGAUCUUCUUGUUUUCGUUUUUGUUUUUCUUUCUUAUUUUCUCUUUUAUUCCAUUGUACAAAAUAAUUUUAUAUAUGAUCUUAAAACAUUCUUCUAAACUACAAAUGCAUAAAUGUCUGUGAACAGUAUCUUUUGUGUACAAUUAGGUCCUUAAGUGUUUUUUUUUUAAACAAAGUUUUUCCUUAAAGAGGAGUUUAAAAUUAAAAUUAUUUGUCUAAAUGUUCAAUUUAGACACUGUGCAGAUGCUCUGGAUUGAAGGUAUUCAUAAAAUGGCUAUCACGUUUUGAAUCUUUGAAAAUUUUGGUUAAAUCUGCAGGCAUGUGCUUUUGCAGGAAGGACGCUGGACUCUUGCACUAUAAGUUGAAAACAUCGCUUAUAAACAAUACAUCACAGCACACUUGCAGAGAGAGCACUGGUUCAUCAAAAUAAGAUAUGAUCAAGGUACAAAAGAGUUAAAGAAGCUAUUUAUUUUAAUGUUUCCUUGGAGAGCACACUUGUUAUUAUGCCUGCCCCAGCUUUGCCUUCCACCAUGAGUAAAAGCUUCCCAAGUCCUCCCCAGAAGCAGAUGCUGGCGCUAUGCUUCUGGUACAGCCUGAAAAACCUUGAGCCAAUUAAACCUCAGUGAGCUCAAGAUGUCUUUGUUGAAACAGAACCUCCCGAAGUUACAGUAUUGGUUUUGGGGCUCCACACAGAGAACACAUCACGGAAGCUAUAAUUGAGGAAGACAAAGCUGUCAGGACGACACCAAGAGAGUUAGAAAGCCCAAGAGUGGAGCAUUCUUCACCAUGAUUCCACCUGACACUUGGCUGAAAGCAUUUUGCACUAAUUUGCUUUGUGCCCGUUCAGACAAUCUAAAAAGAAAGGAUGGGGGGACAACAAGUGUCUAUUACACAGAAUAAACAGCCUCUGGCAAAUGAAUA
rnacentral:lncRNA from 1 species